GACGAACGCUGGCGGCGUGCUUAACACAUGCAAGUCGAACGGAAAGGCCCUGCUUUUGUGGGGUGCUCGAGUGGCGAACGGGUGAGUAACACGUGAGUAACCUGCCCUUGACUUUGGGAUAACUUCAGGAAACUGGGGCUAAUACCGGAUAGGAGCUCCUGCUGCAUGGUGGGGGUUGGAAAGUUUCGGCGGUUGGGGAUGGACUCGCGGCUUAUCAGCUUGUUGGUGGGGUAGUGGCUUACCAAGGCUUUGACGGGUAGCCGGCCUGAGAGGGUGACCGGCCACAUUGGGAAUGAGAUACGGCCCAGACUCCUACGGGAGGCAGCAGUGGGGAAUAUUGCAAAAUGGGCGGAAGCCUGAUGCAGCAACGCCGCGUGCGGGAUGACGGCCUUCGGGGUGUAAACCGCUUUCGCCUGUGACGAAGCGUGAGUGACGGUAAUGGGUAAAGAAGCACCGGCUAACUACGUG
rnacentral:rRNA from 1 species